rnacentral:rRNA from 1 species
UACGGAGGGGACUAGCGUUGUUCGGAAUUACUGGGCGUAAAGCGCACGUAGGCGGCUUUGUAAGUCAGGGGUGAAAUCCCGGGGCUCAACCUCGGAACUGCCUUUGAUACUGCAAAUCUCGAGUCCGGAAGAGGUGAGUGGAAUUCCUGGUGUAGCGGUGAAAUGCGCAGAUAUCAGGAGGAACAUCAGUGGCGAAGGCGGCCAUCUGGGACAACACUGACGCUGAAGCACGAAAGCGUGGGGAGCAAACAGG